UACAGAGGGGGCAAGCGUUGUUCGGAAUUACUGGGCGUAAAGGGCGCGUAGGCGGCCUGUUAAGUCGAACGUGAAAUCCCCGGGCUCAACCCGGGAACUGCGUCCGAUACUGGCAGGCUUGAAUUCGGGAGAGGGAUGCGGAAUUCCAGGUGUAGCGGUGAAAUGCGUAGAUAUCUGGAGGAACACCGAUGGCGAAGGCAAUCCCCUGGACCUGUACUGACGCUCAUGCACGAAAGCGUGGGGAGCAAACAGG
rnacentral:rRNA from 1 species